rnacentral:rRNA from 2 species
GGCUCAUUAAAUCAGUUAUCGUUUAUUUGAUAGUACCUUACUACAUGGAUACCUGUGGUAAUUCUAGAGCUAAUACGUGCUAAAAACCUCAACUUCGGAAGGGGUGUAUUUAUUAGAUAAAAAACCAAUGCCUUUCGGGGCUCUCUGGUGAUUCAUAAUAACUUGUCGAAUCGCAUGGCCUUGCGCCGGCGAUGGUUCAUUCAAAUUUCUGCCCUAUCAACUUUCGAUGGUAGGAUAGUGGCCUACCAUGGUGGCAACGGGUAACGGGGAAUUAGGGUUCGAUUCCGGAGAGGGAGCCUGAGAAACGGCUACCACAUCCAAGGAAGGCAGCAGGCGCGCAAAUUACCCAAUCCCGAUCCGGGGAGGUAGUGACAAUAAAUACUGAUACAGGGCUCUUUCGGGUCUUGUAAUUGGAAUGAGUACAAUUUAAACCCCUUAACGAGGAACAAUUGGAGGGCAAGUCUGGUGCCAGCAGCCGCGGUAAUUCCAGCUCCAAUAGCGUAUAUUAAAGUUGUUGCAGUUAAAAAGCUCGUAGUUGAACCUUGGGCCUGGCUGGCCGGUCCGCCUCACGGCGUGCACUGGUCCGGCUGGGCCUUUCCUUCUGGGGAACCCCAUGGCCUUCACUGGCUGUGGGUGGAACCAGGACUUUUACUGUGAAAAAAUUAGAGUGUUCAAAGCAGGCCUUUGCUCGGAUACAUUAGCAUGGAAUAAUAAAAUAGGACGUGUGGUUCUAUUUUGUUGGUUUCUAGGACCGCCGUAAUGAUUAAUAGGGAUAGUCGGGGGCGUCAGUAUUCGGCUGUCAGAGGUGAAAUUCUUGGAUUUGCUGAAGACUAACUACUGCGAAAGCAUUCGCCAAGGAUGUUUUCAUUAAUCAGUGAACGAAAGUUAGGGGAUCGAAGACGAUCAGAUACCGUCGUAGUCUUAACCAUAAACUAUGCCGACUAGGGAUCGGACGGGGUUUCUUUUAUGACCCGUUCGGCACCUUACGAGAAAUCAAAGUUUUGGGU